UUAGCAAUUUGAUUUGUGGGGUUUUAUGCAUAGAUACUCUUGAAUAUUUUAAAUGAUUUAUAUUUUGCUUUCUGAAGUCACUCUAUAAGUGCCAAAUUUUAUUCUAGCAAAUAAUUUGCUUUAUCACACAAUAUCCUAGUUCUUGAAGCCUUAAAUGUAACUUUUAAAAAUAGCUUGAUGGUUGUAGCUGUGCCUAAACUGGGUACUGUUCCAUUCUCCAUUUAUAAGCUCUCCCAAAAUCCAUCCUGAACAAAAACAAAUAACUAAGAAUACAUUUCCUUUUUCUUUUCUUUUUAAUGCCAGAUUGGUGGUUGCCAAAGACUUUUAGGUCUGAAACAGGAGUAUUUUUGUCUGUUUCAAAGAAAAGCCUUACUCUAUUUUUGUUGAUCUUGCCCUUGAAGAUAUAAAUAUUCAUUCCAUAAGAAUGAUUAAGGUAUCACUUGCACAUGUAGAUUAGAUUAUACUGCAAUUUAAUUUGAGAUGAAGCACCCCAGAAUAGAAGAAUGUUUAAUAGUGGUAUCUCUUGAAAGAAAAGCUUCACUUUGUGACACUUAAAAGAGUAAUAUUUGUAGUCCAUUCCAUUUACAAUGUCAAUUUUUUCAGGGAAAAAGUAUGAAAUAGUGUCAUUUGAAACAAUGAAGACAUAAAGUAAAUCCAGCACAUGAAUUCCAAACAUAACUGGGACUAAAAUGUGGCCUCAUGUGUGAAAAGGCUACACAAUGCAGUUCUGGUUAUUUCAACACUGUGGAAUAGAUCAAAAGUUUUCACAAUAGAAAUAAAGUGAAAACAAAUACAGAACCGGCUCUGUAGAGAUCACGCCUUCAUAUCUGAGGAUAAUUUUGGAAGAAGUUUUGGACAGAAGUUUUCAAGUCAUCAGAUACCUUACAGUACAAGAUAUCGAUAACUAUUCAUGGAGCUACUGAUUUUAACGUGGAACCUCUGAAGGAUAUUUGUAAAAAAUAAUUUUGGGUGAUUUUGCCAGCCCAGUGAGGAAGCAUUGCAGGAGAAAAUAGAACAAUGGAAUCGUCCCAUGGUACAAUAUGGUCUAGGUGCUGCUGUGCCUUAACUUCAGUAUGCCUACCUUUAAGGUACCUGGGAUAUGGACAGCAUUCUCUCCUAUCUUUAAAAACAACAACAUCCUUUUCCCUGCUACUUCACUUUAUUUUUCAGUUGUUAGUAAUUCCAUGUUCAUUUCUGAUGAAAAUUGUAAAAUAAAUACAUCUAGGCAUCUUGUGGUUUGUUUUUAUUUCCCUUGUUCAAUACUACAAGUCAGUUCAAGUAUUGUGGGAUUACAAAUAUUACUUACUGUGUUGUGUGGAAAACUAAUCCCAAUUUCUAAAUUACAUUUCUUCAAAUGCUGUUUUAAAUUCAGCAUAUCUAAGUUGUUGCUUAUCGUUCUCGUU